rnacentral:rRNA from 1 species
UACGUAGGUGACCAGCGUUGUCCGGAUUUACUGGGCGUAAAGAGCGCGUAGGCGGUCCGGUAAGUCGGUUGUGAAAACUGGGGGCUCAACCCUCAGAGGCCGACCGAUACUGUCGGGCUAGAGUCCGGAAGAGGCGAGUGGAAUUCCUGGUGUAGCGGUGAAAUUCGUAGAUAUUCGGAGGAACACCAGUGGCGAAGGCGGCUCACUGGCUCGACACUGACGCUGAGGUGCGAAAGCGUGGGGAGCAAACAGG